CGGCACGGGUGAGUAACACGUAUGGAACCUGCCCUAUGCAGGGGGAUAAGCGGAAGAAAUUCCGUCUAAUACCGCAUAACACCUUUAGGAGACAUCUUCUUGGGGUCAAAGGAGGCGACUCCGGCAUAGGAUGGCCAUGCGUCGCAUUAGCUAGUCGGCGGGGUAACGGCCCACCGAGGCGACGAUGCGUAGGGGUUCUGAGAGGAAGGUCCCCCACACUGGUACUGAGACACGGACCAGACUCCUACGGGAGGCAGCAG
rnacentral:rRNA from 1 species